rnacentral:misc_RNA from 2 species
AAUUCUCAAAACCCGUUCCUUUUUGUCAUUUUUGACAAUGGAAAGGAUUUUGGACUUGGAGGCCUUUUGCUGGUUUCACCUUGAAGCGAGCUCCUCCCAAACGUAUUAGUGGGGUCUGCAUUGUCGGUCCUUGGCGUGAUAAGUCGUUUCUACGUCUUGGAUUUUUGGCGCUGUACACCUGCUUCUAACCGUCUCAUCGACAACGAUGGUGUUCCGGUCUUUUGCCGAUUUAUCGGUGGGAGGCUUGACCCACGAACAAA